AUUGACUUGGAGAAGGCCUAUGAUAAGAUACCGCGGAAUGUCAUGUGGUGGGACUUGGAGAAACACAAAGUCCCAGCAAAGUACAUUACCCUCAUCAAGGACAUGUACAGUAAUGUUGUGACAAGUGUUCGAACAAGUGAUGUCGACACCGAUGACUUCCCGAUUAAGAUAGGACUGCAUCAGGGGUCAGAUUUGAGCCCUUAUCUUUUUGCAUUGGUGAUGGAUGAGGUCACAAGGGGUAUACAAGGAGAUAUCCCAUGGUGUAUGCUCUUUGCGGAUGAUGUGGUGCUAGUUGACGAUAGUCGAACGGGGGUAAAUAGGAAGUUAGAGUUAUGG
rnacentral:rRNA from 1 species